rnacentral:lncRNA from 1 species
ACAAAUUUAUCAUAAAGAAGAAUUAUGCCUGGGUUGUCAGCUUAAAUGGACCAGCAUCCUGUUUUAUGACGGGAGGUUAUAUUGGGCCGAGUUAUAUUCGAAAUGGCGUGAGGCUACAUGGGCCGAGUCAUGUUCGAAGUGGUGUGAGGCUGGUUAAGCCAAGUCACAAUCAAAAUCCGUGAGCGCUAUAUCUGUACGCUGCUUUAAGUGAAUUGAUUGCGUAUUUUCUAACCGCUCGAACUUUUGGGAUUAAUGAUUAGUGCCAACGAUCCGACAACAAUGGAAAUAAAUAUUAAAAAUAUCGUUACGUAGCAGUUUAAAUUUUAGAAAAUGCUUAAUUAUAUUAUACUACACUAUAAUUUAUUGAUUUUUUUUUACUUUAAUUUUUUUUAAAUUCAAAGUUACUGCUUAAUAUUCUUGUUCUUUCAAUUCCUACACUAUAAGUAAUAAAAUUAUAUUUUAUAUACAAACUAUUAAAAAAUACGUUUUAAAAGUGGUGGAAUGUAUAUAUAUAUCCAACUAAUUUUGAUAUAAAAAUAAUAAAAUACAUAAAAAUAAUAAAAAAAAUAAAAUAAUUUGAUAAAAACUUUUAAUGAGUCUAUCCUAGAGAUUUAUUUCAUAUUUUUCUACUAUUUAACCCGUGUCUCUUAAAAAAGUUCUUAAAUUUUGUCUAAAACAAUAGAUUUAUUAAUAAUAAUGUAGAUAUUGGUGAGAAAAAAAUAGUUCUGUGAUAUUUAUGAAAAAAACUAGUACAAGAUAGAAAAAAAUAUAAACUAUGGUAUAGAAAUUGAUAGAAUACAAUAAUAUAAUGGUGUUUUUGAAAAAAACUAUUGAUGCAGUAUAGCAAACAAAAUUAAUACUAAAGUAUAGUGCAGUAGAGUGUAAUUCAGUAUUUAUAAAAUAAUGAUCGUUUUAACAUGAUAUCACGGUAGUAGGUUUUGAGAUUGAAACUCAAAAUUUUAUAUACAUUCACCUUUAAUUCAUAAUUGAAAUGUAAGUAUUUUCAAACAUUUUAA